rnacentral:rRNA from 1 species
CCUACGGGGGGCUGCAGUGGGGAAUAUUGGACAAUGGGGGCAACCCUGAUCCAGCCAUGCCGCGUGUGUGAAGAAGGCCCUCGGGUUGUAAAGCACUUUCAGUGAGGAAGAACGCCUGGUGGUUAAUACCCAUCAGGAAAGACAUCACUCACAGAAGAAGCACCGGCUAACUCCGUGCCAGCAGCCGCGGUAAUACGGAGGGUGCGAGCGUUAAUCGGAAUUACUGGGCGUAAAGCGCGCGUAGGUGGCUUGAUAAGCCGGUUGUGAAAGCCCCGGGCUCAACCUGGGAACGGCAUCCGGAACUGUCAAGCUAGAGUGCAGGAGAGGAAGGUAGAAUUCCCGGUGUAGCGGUGAAAUGCGUAGAGCUCGGGAGGAAUACCAGUGGCGAAGGCGGCCUUCUGGACUGACACUGACACUGAGGUGCGAAAGCGUGGGUAGCAAACAGGAUUAGAUACCCCUGUAGUC